rnacentral:rRNA from 1 species
CAGUCGCCGCGGGAAUACAGAGGAUGCAAGCGUUAUCCGGAAUGAUUGGGCGUAAAGCGUCUGUAGGUGGCUUUUCAAGUCCGCCGUCAAAUCCCAGGGCUCAACCCUGGACAGGCGGUGGAAACUACCAAGCUGGAGUACGGUAGGGGCAGAGGGAAUUUCUGGUGGAGCGGUGAAAUGCGUUGAGAUCGGAAAGAACACCAACGGUGAAAGCACUCUGCUGGGCCGACACUGACACUGAGAGACGAAAGCUAGGGGAGCAAAUGGGAUUAGAUACCCCGGUAGUCCCUGUCUCUUAUAC